rnacentral:miRNA from 1 species
UCUGUGUGUGUGUGUGUGUGUGUGUGUAUACGCAAGUGUGCGUGCGCGCGCGCACACACACGCACACACACACACACACAAG